AGAACAUGGAUUCAGAUAUCUUAAGAGGAUUAUCAAACAUUAGGAUGUAAUAAUGAUGGAAAUAAGUACUGAUACUUUCAUGGAACAAGGUUAUACAAAGAACAACCUGCCCUGGAAAAAAAUUAAAUUGGGAAGAUGACAGUGCAACCACAGUGAGGAAAAGGUCGUCCUCGAAGGAUCCCUUGAAAGCAAUGAAAGUCUGAUGGCGAAAAGUGAUGAUCUUGAAGAGGAUGGUAAUCAAAAGAAAUGUAUGAAUACUGACUCUGUUAUAUGCAAUACACUUGAUGAUUGGAUUAAUUUUGCAGACAAGUUUAAGGAUAGUAAUACAAAGUGCGAGAGAUCUUUAUUUGAAGUUGCACAACCUAAUUUCUUACCUGCUCUGAACGAAAUAUAUCAAUAACAGGAGAACACAUUGAUACAAUGAACUGAUCAGUCUUCCUAUGAUUACUAAGAGAGAAACAAGGAGUCAUAACAGA